rnacentral:rRNA from 1 species
UACGUAGGGUGCGAGCGUUGUCCGGAAUUACUGGGCGUAAAGAGCUCGUAGGUGGUUUGUCGCGUUGUCCGUGAAAACUCACAACUCAAUUGUGGGCGUGCGGGCGAUACGGGCAGACUGGAGUACUGCAGGGGAGACUGGAAUUCCUGGUGUAGCGGUGGAAUGCGCAGAUAUCAGGAGGAACACCGGUGGCGAAGGCGGGGUCCUGGCCAGUAC